GAUACAUACCGAAAGCCGACUCUACUCCGUAGCUUCUCCGGAAAAAUCGGGUUACUAUUCACUUUAAGUGAAAACUAAUAAUCGCGUAACUUCUCCGUUCUAGCUCAUUUUCUCCUGAAACUUGACGAGUGCUUAUGUAAUUAAAUUACACACAUAAACAUCAUCAAUAGAGAGUUUAGUUGCACUGUAAAAUUCUCAGUCCUUACAUGUUAAAACAGGAGAAGAAAAAAAUUUGGACUAUCAUAACUCCAAAAUUUUGAACUAUAAGGCCACUACAGUAAUCUCCAGCUUCAACUUUUUUUGAGAUUAUCUUAACUCAUUUCUUAAAAAAAUAUUAAUUUUUAAGUUAAAAUUAAAAUUUUAAUAAAUUUAUCGAUAAUUUUGACAAAUUUAGUAAAUUUAAUUAAUUUUUAACAAA
rnacentral:lncRNA from 1 species